rnacentral:tRNA from 1 species
GCUACGGUGGUCUAGCGGUUAGAACGCUGGGCUUGUAAUCCUGGGGUCUCGGGUUCGAUUCCCGGCGGUGCCC